UCAAAAACAUGUCUUUUUGAUUUUGAUUUAAAGUCUAGCCUGCCCUCUGAGGUUUUGAAUGGCCGCGGUAUUUUGACCGUGCUAAGGUAGCAUAAUAAUUAGUUUCUUAAUUAGGAGCUGGAAUGAAAGGUUGAAUGAGAGAACGUCUGUCUCUGUAUAAUUUUUUAUAGAAUUUUAUUUUUAAGUUAAAAAGCUUAAAUUUUUUUAAUAGACGAGAAGACCCUAUAGAGUUUAAUAUAUUUUUGAGGUGAGAUUAAUUGGUAUAUUAAACUUUAUUUUUGAAAUCUAUUUAAUUGGGGUGAUUGAAAAAUUUAAAUAACUUUUUCUUUUUCUUUACAUUAAUUUAUGAAUUUUUGAUCCGUUAUUGGCGAUUAUAAGAUAAAAUUACCUUAGGGAUAACAGCGUAAUUUUUAUAGAGAGUUCUAAUCGAAAUAAGAGUUUGCGACCUCGAUGUUGGAUUAAAGUUUAUUUUUGGUGUAGAAGCUAAAAUAUUAGGUCUGUUCGACCUUUAAAACUUUACAUGAUCUGA
rnacentral:rRNA from 1 species